AGUCGAACGCUGAAGCCUGGUGCUUGCACCGGGUGGAUGAGUGGCGAACGGGUGAGUAACACGUGAGUAACCUGCCCCUGACUUCGGGAUAAGCCCGGGAAACUGGGUCUAAUACCGGAUACGACUGCCGGACGCAUGUCUGGUGGUGGAAAGUUUUUUCGGUUGGGGAUGGGCUCGCGGCCUAUCAGUUUGUUGGUGAGGUAAUGGCUCACCAAGACGACGACGGGUAGCCGGCCUGAGAGGGCGACCGGCCACACUGGGACUGAGACACGGCCCAGACUCCUACGGGAGGCAGCAGUGGGGAAUAUUGCACAAUGGGGGAAACCCUGAUGCAGCGACGCAGCGUGCGGGAUGACGGCCUUCGGGUUGUAAACCGCUUUCAGCAGGGAAGAAGCGCAAGUGACGGUACCUGCAGAAGAAGUACCGGCUAACUACGUGCCAGCAGCCGCGGUAAUACGUAGGGUACGAGCGUUGUCCGGAAUUAUUGGGCGUAAAGAGCUCGUAGGUGGUUGGUCACGUCUGCUGUGGAAACGCAACGCUUAACGUUGCGCGUGCAGUGGGUACGGGCUGACUAGAGUGCAGUAGGGGAGUCUGGAAUUCCUGGUGUAGCGGUGAAAUGCGCAGAUAUCAGGAGGAAC
rnacentral:rRNA from 1 species